GUUGAGAAAGAAAAUGGAAAAAUCAUGCUGGAAUGUUGCAGGAAAUUUGGGAUUAUGUGUGAAGAUUUGGAAACGCAAGCUGGGUGGUAGUGUGCAAGUGUGUGUCCAAAGAUCUGCCACACAUUCUAGUGCCUAAUCCUGAGCACGAUGUUAAAUUCCUGACCUGAAGUGAUUUCACGUCGGAGCUCGUCUAGCCGAUUCUUAAAGUUGACAACAUUCAUAUCCACAUCAGUGAUUAAGGGGAGAGAGUAUGCGAUAUCCCUCUGUGUCUGAUGAUGUUUGCAUCAACAACAUCCUAUUCGGGACCAGAUACUU